AGAGGGGCGGAGCUGGCAAGACCAGAAUGUUGGAUAUUGGUAACUGCGAGGGGGCUGAGCAAAGGCUUCUCGGGAGCACAGACCAGGAAAUGCCCUUCAUAGGUGCCUAGGCCUCGCCGCACUCGUAGGCAACAAAGCGGCACCCCCAGGGUCCUCAGCGACCUCAGGUGACCCUUAGAAUGGACCCCGGAGAAUGCAGAGGUGGGGAGAGGGUGUGUGACCUGUAGGUUGAAUCCCGCACCUCCAAUCUUCACGCCCAAGAAGGCUCUCCUUCCAAGCCACCCUGGGAUGGCCAGUGGGGUCCUGAGGGACGGACUUUAUAUGAACUUAUUUUGCAGAAAGAAACAUUUCAACAGAGAACCCUGCGGAAAUUGAGACAAGUUAUCUUCUCAAAGUCCUGAACUCCCAUUCCUACUUCAGAAGGCACUCCUCUGUUCACAGCAGCUAAAGCUUGCCCAAAGUCCAGUUCCUUCCCAAGGAAAUUCUGUUUGGAUUUUGGAUGCACACUUUUCCAAGCAUUGUGUUCUUCAAAUUCGACAAGCUCAAACCUUGCGAUCUCUUGGAGGUAGGCGUGAUCACCUGGCUGGUAUCAGAGGGGAUGACUGGUAAGAAGUUGUUUCAG